CUUGUUUUCAUAAUAAAAACAAAUUUGCAAAAAGUUUAGUAGCUGUAAGGAGCUAUAGAUGCAAAAAUCGUGUAAUGGCAUAGACUCUAGAUUAUUAUUAUGUUUUUUGAGACAGGAUCUCAUUAUGUAGCUCAGGCUGGCCUUGAACUCACUCUGUAGCCAGUGGUGGCCUCAGUCUUGAAGGAUCCUCCUGCCCCAGCCUCCCAACUGCUAGGAUCACAGGGGUGCGCCAGCCUGAUUGUCUUCUACAUGUUAGUAUCUUAGUAGUAAAAAAGAAACCCUAAUCCAUUGGCUUCACACUUUAGUUUCUUGCUUCUGAUUUAAUGAAAUAAAAUGCCUCAUUGACAGUGUACUCAAGAUGAAUCAAAUUUCCUGACUCUCGCUGACGUAAGCAAGGUACAUCUUUCUCUGCAAACCAGCUUUUUAGACACUGUGCACACAUUAACCUAACAUACAUUUACUCUUUUUGUCCAAAUCAUUGACACUUUUAUUCAGGUGGCAGAUACAUCCUGAAUACUGAUAAUCAGACAUCAGAAAGCAUUAGCCUGUUUUCUGUACAGAGAAACCCAUGGUUCAUCAAGUCCUCCUUUAACACCACCAGGAAGAAGAGACACUGUCUCAGACUUCAAGAAAUUGGAAAACUUGGAAGAUAAAGACAAUAUUUCGAUGAGGAAAAAAAGAUCAGAUAUUCUGUGCCUGCUGUGGGAGAGAAGGUCUGAGCCUUGGCUGAGACGUAAACCCUGUGUGUCUCACCCCUGUGGGAACAGCAGCAUAAGGCACAAUGGGAGAAGACAGGCGGAACCAUAUGCAAACAGAGGAGUUAUUUUAAGACAUGAAAUAUUACUUCCAGGCCUCUUCUCUGCUCAGAAUUCAUUGUUGCCCGCUGGACUCCAGGAAGCGCGCCAAACUUUACACUCAGCACAGAAACUUCCGGAAUCCGCAUGGAGGACCACCCGCAUUAUCCCAGAGCUAGGUCCUUCCUGUGUCCAACUGGAUAUUCCAACGCCAGCUGCCACAAGUUCUUACGCCUCGCACGUUAUUUUUAUGUUACAGCCUCGACAUUCCUCGGGUGGGUGA
rnacentral:lncRNA from 1 species